GACGGAGGAUGCAAGCGUUAUCCGGAAUGAUUGGGCGUAAAGCAUCCGCAGGUGGCAAAUCAAGUCUGCUGUUAAAGCGCAGGGCUUAACUCUGUAAAGGCAGUGGAAACUGAUUAGCUAGAGUGUGGUAGGGGCAGAGGGAAUUCCCAGUGUAGCGGUGAAAUGCGUUGAGAUCGGAAGGAACGCCCGUGGCGAAAGCGAGGUCCUGGACGUCAUCUGACGCUGAGACGCGAAAGCUAGGGGAGCGAACGGG
rnacentral:rRNA from 1 species